AUUGAACGCUGGCGGCAUGCCUUACACAUGCAAGUCGAACGGUAACAGGUUAAGCUGACGAGUGGCGAACGGGUGAGUAAUACAACGGAACGUGCCUAGACGUGGGGGAUAGCUCGGCGAAAGCCGGAUUAAUACCGCAUGUGAUCUGAGGAUGAAAGCGGGGGACCGUAAGGCCUCGCGCGUUGGGAGGGGCCGGUGGCAGAUUAGGUAGUUGGUGGGGUAAAGGCUUACCAAGCCUACGACCUGUAGCUGGUCGGCGAGGACGACCAGCCACACUGGGACUGAGAGACGGCCAAGACUCCGGCGGGAGGCAGCAGUGGGGAAUUUUGGACAAUGGGCGAAAGCCUGAUCCAGCAAUGCCGCGAGCAGGAUGAAGGCCUUCGGGUUGUAAACUGCUUUUGUACGGAACGAAAAGGCGCCUACUAAUACUGGGUGUUGAUGACGGUACCGUAAGAAUAAGCACCGGCUAACUACGUGCCAGCCGCCGCGGUAAGAC
rnacentral:rRNA from 1 species